CACGACUUAUUUAAUUUGCAUUAUCAAAAAAAAAAAAAAAAAGUACAAAAUGGAUUUGCUUAGCGAAACAAAACCGAAUUAUGUAGUGUGAAGGCACAUUUACACCAAGAUUAUCUUGUAUGUGUCUCAACUCUGAAACUAGUUUAGCCACCACCUUAGGGCACUUGCUGGAGCCAAAUCAGCCAGUUUCGUGACUUCACUAAUUUUCUCCGUUGCAGAGAGCUAACCUUCGCCAUUUAGGUGCCCUUGAAGAACGGUCUUGGACCUAGGAAAAUACUUUAUAGAACAGUGUAAACUAGAAACAUUUAUCUUUACAUGGAGGGGCAUGUUACAAGUUACUUUUUCACAUUUUACCGAUAAGGGAAUUUCACGUUAGUCAUGAAAGAGUUAAAAAGCUCGUCGACAUUAAAUUAAAUAAAAUUAAGUAGUACAAAAGUGGUCAUUGAAUACUUGAAACAUCGACAAAUUUUACAUGGGAUUUAUAAUUUGCCGAUGAAGUUAGAAAUCUAGGAUUUUUAAAAAGAAUCACGCUUCUAUUGCACCCAAAACUUUUUAAGGCAUACAACAUUACUAUAACAUACGAAACAGACUCUUCGAGUAGUAAUUGAACCCCUUAAUGCCCUUGAUACAAACUCAUAAUCAUCAGAAAAUUCCUUAGAUGUUCAACACUUCCCUUAAAUGAGUAGGUUGAAUACUAAAAGAUUGAAAAAUAGACAAAUGAAGUACCAACUAUAUUGAAGUAAUUAGUAAAAGGGAGCUCCCUUCAGUCCAAGCAUAGAGAAGAAUAGGAUGAAAUUUAUCUCCUGCAUCAUUCACACAUUCACAGUAGUAAAAAGCCAUCUCCCUUCUACUGCAUUUGAAUGAAUGAGUCAGCAGAUAAUUCGAUCCCUUCAACUAUCCAUGAGUGGACUGAAGGAAGCUCUUUUAAACUAGUAUUCAAAGUACAAGUUAUUAAAGAAUCAAAAAGCUAGAACUAUCUAAUCUUAAUUUUUUGCUCCAUUCAGAUAUGAACAAGUUAAAAAAACCAGCAAAAUUAAAGUGCUUUCACUAGUAGAUCUGUCAAGUCGAAGAUCUUUUUGUCACGCUAUGUUGCAGGGUUGCUUCUCAAAUAAACUAUUGUUGAAUUAACCUUUUGUGAGGUCAACUAACAGGAUUUUUAAGCCAUAAUAUCAGCUGAAAUUCUGCAUUACCCUGAGGCAAGAGCAUAUUGUAAAACUAUAUAUUUUUUAUUCAUGCAAAAAAUACAGAAAUUGGGUCAUCCAUAUUAAAAGCAUCCGGGUGGAGAAGGCAAAAAAAAAUUUAGUUCUGCUGAGGCACUCCUCUAUAAUAACAACAUAAUAAACCCUAAAGCGACUAAUAUAUAUGUCCACCUUCAAAUUAUAUUUAAAUUCUAAUUAAAAAAUCUAAACUAGCAAGGAAUUGAGUUUUUCAAGAUGGAAAAAUUCCAGCAUCAGCAUGAAUACUAACCCUAACCCUGGAAAAGAUACCACAACAAUAGGAACAAAACCACUUGCCUGGGAGAUCUUAAAUUACCAAAUAACAAGGCAAAAGCAUCGGUAAUUGUUAAAGAAUAUAAUCCCGCAUUAGUUAAAUAUAAAAAUAAUAAACAAUAUAUUAGGGUUUGGAUUACUCUCGUUAAACCCAAUUUAAAAUACCGUAUCAAAGACCACAAUGUUCAAAUGUGGGAUGAAUAGGUCUAAAGCUUAAACUAAUUACCAGCAAAGCAUAGAAGUUGGUUGAUCUUUUAAGAUGGAACCAAGUAUCAGUAAUGACUACUUUUGAGUUCUGACUUUCUCUUGCAAUAUAUAUUUGGUUGAUUUAUAAGCAUUUAAACUUUCGCCUAUUACCAGCUGAUUUUAAAAGUUAGUUCUUUAUAAUUGUGUUUGUAAACUUACAUCUUGGCCUUUUUACAAGUGACAUGGAUCACAGGGAGCAAAACCAUUUUCCUUAGACAUGCAUAUCCAUUUCAUAUUAAUUAUAUGUCGCCUGCAUUGCCAUUGGAUAAAAAAAAUAUCCGAACCCUGUAGGCUCCUUUAGAAUUAAAAGCGAUGACAUGUAAUGAAAUCUAACACAAAAUAAGGAACCAUAAAAAAUAUAAUCACAUACCAAUUAUAAGAAAAGUGGAAAAAUACUCAACUUACUGAUGUUAAACGGUGUAACAGAUCGAUGCCAGUAACUUCCUUUCGUCUAAAACACAAAAAAGGGGAAAAUGAAAUCUCGACAAAGAAGAGUUCAAGAAAAUGUGAGAGAGAGAGAGAGAGAGAGAGCGUGAAUGAAGUAUAAUGAGAAAUUCAUCCCUCCCCAACAGCCACAAAACAGUCAUAGAGAGAAGAAAGUAAUAGAAAGUGAAAAAGAGAAAAGCAGAAAGCAGAAAAAAGCUGUAUU
rnacentral:lncRNA from 1 species